GAUGAAGAACGUAGCGAAAUGCGAUAAGUAAUGUGAAUUGCAGAAUUCAGUGAAUCAUCGAAUCUUUGAACGCACCUUGCACCCUUUGGUAUUCCGAAGGGUAUGCUCGUUUGAGUGUCAUUGUACUCUCACACUUCUAAUUCCUUUCGGGAUUGGGAGCGGUGGACUUGGGUGUUGCUGCUUUAGUUGUGGCUCACCUCAAAUAAGUUAGUGCAACUCUUGGUUGGACAUAGUACGGCGUGAUAAGUGUCUUCGCCGGCGCCUCUGUAAGGAGGGUGGACGAUCGGGAGCUCUGUGCUUCAAACCGUCUUCGGACAAUCUUUGACAACUUGACCUCAAAUCGAGUAGGACUACCCGCUGAACUUAAGCAUAUCAAUAAGCGGAGGA
rnacentral:misc_RNA from 1 species